rnacentral:rRNA from 1 species
GCUACCACAUCCAAGGAAGGCAGCAGGCGCGCAAAUUACCCACUCCUGAUACGGGGAGGUAGUGACGAAAAAUAACAAUACGGGACUCAAUCGAGGCUCCGUAAUUGGAAUGAGUACACUUUAAAUCCUUUAACGAGGAUCUAUUGGAGGGCAAGUCUGG